rnacentral:ncRNA from 2 species
AACUUAUCAAGAGAGAGCGAGGGCCAAGGACCCUAUGACCUCCGGCAACCUAGUAUCAUAAACAAAGGUGCUUAUCCUAAGCAAAGUAAAACUUUGAGCGAUGAGAA